rnacentral:rRNA from 1 species
GAGGAAUAUUGGUCAAUGGGCGCGAGCCUGAACCAGCCAAGUAGCGUGCAGGAUGACGGCCCUAUGGGUUGUAAACUGCUUUUGUAUGGGGAUAAAGUCAAUCACGUGUGAUUGUUUGCAGGUACCAUACGAAUAAGGACCGGCUAAUUCCGUGCCAGCAGCCGCGGUAAUACGGAAGGUCCGGGCGUUAUCCGGAUUUAUUGGGUUUAAAGGGAGCGUAGGCCGGAGAUUAAGUGUGUUGUGAAAUGUAGACGCUCAACGUCUGAAUUGCAGCGCAUACUGGUUUCCUUGAGUACGCACAACGUUGGCGGAAUUCGUCGUGUAGCGGUGAAAUGCUUAGAUAUGACGAAGAACUCCGAUUGCGAAGGCAGCUGACGGGAGCGCAACUGACGCUUAAGCUCGAAGGUGCGGGUAUCAAACAGGAUUAGAUACCCUGGUAGUCCGCACAGUAAACGAUGGAUGCCCGCUGUUGGUACCUGGUAUCAGCGGCUAAGCGAAAGCAUUAAGCAUCCCACCUGGGGAGUACGCCGGCAACGGUG